rnacentral:lncRNA from 1 species
UCUUCAAUUUCCAUUUUUUUUUAAAGUAAUCUCUCUCUUUCUUUCUUCAGAGAGAUGCAGAGAGCAUUAUAUGCACAAACACACAGUAGCAGCAAAGCAAAAGCUCUGACUCACACUUCUACGUCUCUCUCUCCCUAAAUCUUCAUCAUUGAUUCGCCAUCGAAGGCUCUGCCGCAUUUAUAUCAUCUUCUUCUCACUCUCACUCUCAUCGGAAAACUUCUUUGAAGUUAUCGGAAUAGUUUUGUUCGUAUAUUGAUCUCUUUCGUUAUGCUAAACUAGAUUCACACGUUUGUUUUCUCCCAAAGCCGAGAUUCGCAUUUCGGCUUCUCGUUUCGAGGUAUUGCUUCUCCGGAUCUGAUUGCGAUCUCUCUGAUUUCUCGUUACUGAUUUUAGGAUUUCUUUGAGGGGUUUUUGUGCUGAGUAGCUUUCAAUGCCGAUUUGGUUUUUGAAUCUCAAGUUUCUCUGAUUGAUUUGUUUUUGGAAGUUUUCAGAUUUCGUCUUAUGGAAUCUCUGAAUCUGUUGCGUGUUGUGGGAUACUUCCCUGUAUUGUGACUAUCGAGGAAACUGCAUCUACGGUGAUUUUUUUUAUUUAGGCUUUGCGUUUUUUUUUUAACUUGAGAAGUGGGAGAGGAGGAAGAUGGCUAAGAUGAUAAACAAGACGCUUGUACUUACCUAUAUCUACUUACUGAUCUACAUUCUUCUCUCUUCUGGAGUUAUACUGUACAACAAGGUGAUUGCAAAUACUACUUUACCUUUCUGUAAUGUAUCUGAAUGUUUCUGCAGAUCUUUAUAUAGUUUGUGUAUCUGUUGAAUUUUGCAUGUCAUUGGCUUUAUGAACUUGAAGUUGAGGUUUGGA